UGAUGAACACAUACCAGAAAUAUCCUGCUGUAUCUAGUGAUCAAUAUUUAUUUAUUAGUAAUGGCGAAGAUGAUAAAUUUUUUGAAUCCCACAAAAUAUUCUCUGUUUCUUUGCCACUUAAUGCCGUGUAAUGUUUGUCUCUGAAUCUCUCUCUCCAUUAAGAAUAGUUUGUGGUUUGUCUUUGAUGCUACAGGCAGGUGAGCAAAUGAAACUUGAAUAUCAGAAAAAGGUAGCUUCGUUGAAUAAGUUGAAGAAACAUGGCUCAAACACAGGCGCCUUAGAAAGGAUGAAAGCAGCAGUUAGUCAUCUGCAUACCAGAUACAUUGUUGACAUGCAAUCCAUGGACUCCACCGUUUCAGAAAUUAAUAGUUUGUGCAAUGAUCACCUGUAUCCGAAACUUGUUACCCUUGUUGAUGCGUAAGUUCCUACGCUGCUAUGAGAAAUACUGCCUAUUGUCUAGCCGUUGUUGAUGAUCUGUAGCUUGCUUCCAUUAGCAUUUGUUAUAAGCAAAAUAAUUAGUGUGGCAUAUACCAUGAUCGCUUCAUGAAACACGUAACCUUAAUAUGAUACCAUAAGUUUCUCUUGCUUAUCUUCAUGUACAUGAACUUCCAGGUUUCAUUUUUCUUACUACUUCAAAAAUCAGUUAGCCUAUGUAUCUUCCAUUUAUUUUUAUCCCUAUUGCAAAUGAAUAUCAAAUUUGAUUUUUCCCUUUUGUUACUGCAAAGUUCUUUACACAAGAUUGCAUUGUUCUUGUUGAGGAUGUAAUUAAAAUAAAUAUAUUUGUCCUUUCAAUAACAACUAAAGCUGUUAAAUUGAUGUGACUUGACUUGGUAACAGAGCACUUAAAGUUCCUUAACUCAAGUCCAGAUAUCAUCUAUCAUGAAAAUUUUGCUCAUGUUGGCCUUUGAUGUAUGUGAGGUGCCCCUUGAAGAUAUAGUUUAAAUAAAUAUGUUUGUCCUCUCUCUAUCAUCUUAAUCUUUUAGAUGAGAUGGUAAAUUGGUCCAAGCCAGGUAUUUGGUCAAAGCCAUGAGGAUCCCCUCUAAAUGAUAGACUGAUGGAUAUUCAUGGUUAUGCAUUGUAAUCAGCAUUUAAAUUACCUAAAUUUUAUAACUUUUAUUUUUUAAAUUUCGUUCUCGUGCCAAUUUUGAAGAAAAUUGUUUUUAGAAAAUUACAAUUUCUGUAAAGGUUUUCACAUAUACGGCCCUAUAAAGUUAGCUUCCUUUUUUUUUUUUUUUUUUUUCUUUUUUUUAAUCCUUAUUAACCUUAAAAACUAUAUUAAGUCCUUUCUUAUUGAUCACAGGAUGGCUAUAAUGUGGAAAACGAUGAGAAUGUACCAUGAAAAACAAUCUAAAAUUGUGCUAGCUUUGAAGCAUGUGGACAUUCCUCAAUCUCCUAAACAAACAAGUGACCACCACCACGAGCGCACUCAACUUUUAUGUUAUGUUGUUCAGGAUUGUCAUUCACGUUUAAGUGAACUCGUGUCUCAGCAGAAAGAAUAUAUUAAAUCUCUCGACGACUGGUUGAAGUUAAAUCUCAUUCCUAUAGAUACAAACUUGAAAGAGAAAGUUUCAUCUCCCCGUGGGACCCAAAAUCCCCCAUUACAGACACUUUUGCAAGACUGGCAGGAUUACCUCCAGAAUAUUCCUGAUGAGCCGAAAUCAACUAUUAAAAAUUUUGCUGUUCAGAUUCAGACUAUAUGGCAGGAUCAGAAAGAGGAGUUGGACUUAAGAAACAAAUGUGCAGAGUCGGAGAAGGAGCUUAUGAGAAGGUCCCGCGAGUUCAAGAAUUGGCAUAAUAAAUAUAUACAGAGGAGAACCCCACCUGAUGUAAUGGAUGCAGAUAGAGCACACGAUAAGGAUUUUAUUGCAGAAAGGGAGCAUAUUGUUGAAGCAGCAAAAUUGAAAUUGAGAGGUGAUGAGGAAGCAUACCAAAGGCUGUGCAUGCAGGUCAGAGAGAGAUCUAUGGCGAGCCUCAAAAGCAAUUUACCAGGACUUUUUGAGGCACUGUCAGAUUUUUCUCUUGCUUGUUCAGAUAUGUAUAACAACUUGAGGUCCAUCGAGCAUUCACGAAAUAGAAGUCAGGGUUGAUGAAGAAACGCUGAUUAUAUCAUUCCAUGCUAUUGGGUAAAUAUUUGUUUCACACUUUCAAAAUAAAUUCUACUUUGUUGUAUCUUUAUGUGAAAUAUGGAGUGUUUAAUGUAACUUGUGAAUUAAUUCAUUGGUAUGUAAGGUGUGUUUUAUAUGACAUAUGACUGUCAAGGGGGUCUUAAAUGGUAUUUCUUUGUUAUACACUUGUACGUACUUGUGUUUUAUACUUGUGAAUUAAUACAUUAAUACUUGUUUUGUG
rnacentral:lncRNA from 1 species